GAUGAACGCUGGCGGCGUGCCUAAUACAUGCAAGUCGAGCGAGCAGACGAGGAGCUUGCUCCUCUGACGUUAGCGACGGACGGGUGAGUAACACGUGGAUAACCUACCUAUAAGACUGGGAUAACUUCGGGAAACCGGAGCUAAUACCGGAUAAUAUAUUGAACCGCAUGGUUCAAUAGUGAAAGACGGUUUUGCUGUCACUUAUAGAUGGAUCCGCGCCGCAUUAGCUAGUUGGUAAGGUAACGGCUUACCAAGGCGACGAUGCGUAGCCGACCUGAGAGGGUGAUCGGCCACACUGGAACUGAGACACGGUCCAGACUCCUACGGGAGGCAGCAGUAGGGAAUCUUCCGCAAUGGGCGAAAGCCUGACGGAGCAACGCCGCGUGAGUGAUGAAGGUCUUCGGAUCGUAAAACUCUGUUAUUAGGGAAGAACAAAUGUGUAAGUAACUAUGCACGUCUUGACGGUACCUAAUCAGAAAGCCACGGCUAACUACGUG
rnacentral:rRNA from 1 species